rnacentral:rRNA from 1 species
AUGGCCACCAUCCGUUCUCUCCGCAAAAGAUGGAGAGCCAAGCAGUACAUCUCCGCAGCUAUGCUGGGAACGCUGUUUGCUGUCGCCCUGGUGGCUGCUACCUCCAUCAGCCUCGCCCCAGCACGGAUGAGGUUCUCCGUCGUGAAAGCGGAAAUCGUUACCUACAGAAAGCCACCGACCGGUCCGGAUACCAACACACACUUGAACUUAAACCUCGUGGCCAACAACACCAGCCAGCGCACGGCGGUGUGGUUCGACUCCAUGAGCACCGAGAUAUGGUACGGCCCUGCAGCCACGGCGUGGGUCCGGACCAAGAACGCGUGGCUACCAACCGGCUGGCAACCGCCGAGGAGCUUGAUCAGCAUCAACAUGUCGAUUGACUAUGGGGCGACAUGGGCUGCGGCAACCCUCGGAGGACUCUAUCCCCUCCCUCCUUCCUCCUCCCUCUCGCUGUCAUCAGUGCCUCCGAGAGAAAAAAGCCCAUGUGGAGCCUGCGGCUGCGGGCCUCGUCCUUGCGGUCAUUGGUGA